UGUUUUUAAAACCAUUAUGAA
rnacentral:piRNA from 1 species